rnacentral:rRNA from 1 species
GACGAACCGUGCUAACGUUGUUCGGAAUCACUGGGCUUAAAGGGCGCGUAGGCGGUUUGCCAAGUCAGGGGUGAAAUCUUUCGGCCCAACCGGAAAAGGGCCUUUGAUACUGGCAGACUCGAGCGAGGUAGGGGCAGAUGGAACUUCCGGUGGAGCGGUGAAAUGUGUUGAUAUCGGAAGGAACGCCGGUGGCGAAAGCGAUCUGCUGGACCUCUUCUGACGCUGAGGCGCGAAAGCCAGGGGAGCAAACGGG